rnacentral:rRNA from 1 species
CAAGUCGAACGGCAGCGCGGGGCAACCUGGCGGCGAGUGGCGAACGGGUGAGUAAUAUAUCGGAACGUACCCUGGAGUGGGGGAUAACGUAGCGAAAGUUACGCUAAUACCGCAUACGAUCUAAGGAUGAAAGCAGGGGACCGCAAGGCCUUGUGCUCCUGGAGCGGCCGAUAUCUGAUUAGCUAGUUGGUGGGGUAAAGGCCUACCAAGGCAUCGAUCAGUAGCUGGUCUGAGAGGACGACCAGCCACACUGGAACUGAGACACGGUCCAGACUCCUACGGGAGGCAGCAGUGGGGAAUUUUGGACAAUGGGCGCAAGCCUGAUCCAGCAAUGCCGCGUGAGUGAAGAAGGCCUUCGGGUUGUAAAGCUCUUUUGUCAGGGAAGAAACGGUGGGGGCUAAUAUCCCCUGCUAAUGACGGUACCUGAAGAAUAAGCACCGGCUAACUACGUGCCAGCAGCCGCGGUAAUACGUAGGGUGCAAGCGUUAAUCGGAAUUACUGGGCGUAAAGCGUGCGCAGGCGGUUUUGUAAGUCUGUCGUGAAAUCCCCGGGCUCAACCUGGGAAUUGCGAUGGAGACUGCAAGGCUAGAAUCUGGCAGAGGGGGGUAGAAUUCCACGUGUAGCAGUGAAAUGCGUAGAGAUGUGGAGGAACACCGAUGGCGAAGGCAGCCCCCUGGGUCAAGAUUGACGCUCAUGCACGAAAGCGUGGGGAGCAAACAGGAUUAGAUACCCUGGUAGUCCACGCCCUAAACGAUGUCUACUAGUUGUCGGGUUUUAAUUAACUUGGUAACGCAGCUAACGCGUGAAGUAGACCGCCUGGGGAGUACGGUCGCAAGAUUAAAACUCAAAGGAAUUGACGGGGACCCCCACAAGCGGUGGAUGAUGUGGAUUAAUUCGAUGCAACGC